rnacentral:rRNA from 1 species
CUUCGGCCUUAGUGGCGCACGGGUGCGUAACGCGUGGGAAUCUGCCCUUGGGUUCGGAAUAACAGUUGGAAACGACUGCUAAUACCGGAUGAUGUCUCAAGACCAAAGAUUUAUCGCCCAAGGAUGAGCCCGCGUCGGAUUAGCUAGUUGGUGGGGUAAAGGCUUACCAAGGCGACGAUCCUUAGCUGGUCUGAGAGGAUGAUCAGCCACACUGGGACUGAGACACGGCCCAGACUCCUACGGGAGGCAGCAGUGGGGAAUAUUGGACAAUGGGCGAAAGCCUGAUCCAGCAAUGCCGCGUGAGUGAUGAAGGCCUUAGGGUUGUAAAGCUCUUUUACCCGGGAAGAUAAUGACUGUACCGGAAGAAUAAGCUCCGGCUAACUCCGUGCCAGCAGCCGCGGUAAU